ACCUUAUUUUUCCCACACAUAAGAACUCUUUCAAUCUUCAUCUUUUCACCAAGAACACCUUAAAAAAAAACCCAUUUAUUUUUAUCACCUCCUUCAUGAUCAAGAUAGAUUUCUUUGGAACUUAAGGUGAUCUAAAGCUUUUGUAAGCAAAGGGAAGGGUUUUCAUCCAUUCAAGAACCUUAAAUCAUCAAGAUCAUCAUCUUAUUAGUUCUUAAUAAUCUUCUAAGAUCAUCCCUAGCCUAGUGCUAGAAGUCGCAACGCUAUUCAGGACGACCGCACGUGAGAUCUUAUUUACAUCUAUUCACAGGACGCGAUACUGGAAUUAGUGGACCAAUGCAACGAUUUCAGUUCAAGGAAAACAAGUAUCAAUACUCCAUGCCAACUAUUGAAGGGUUUGCCUGUUAUAUACCGCCUCUUUGCGGUGAUAUAGUGGUCAAAGUCUUGACAUUUUAAGACUUACAUUUUGAUGUAUAAAACGAUGACAACUUAUUUUCAUUUGAUGGUUUGUAAACAAUACAUUCAACUUAUGUUGCAUUCUUUUGAAACAAUUAUGACAAUGGCAUUGGAGCUUGUUUUUAUUCA